UACGGGGGGGGCAAGCGUUGUUCGGAAUUACUGGGCGUAAAGGGCUCGUAGGCGGCCAACUAAGUUGGAUGUGAAAUCCCCAGGCUCAACCUGGGAACUGCAUCCGAUACUGGAUGGCUUGAAUUCGGGAGAGGGAUGCAGAAUUCCAGGUGUAGCGGUGAAAUGCGUAGAUAUCUGGAGGAAUACCGGUGGCGAAGGCGGCAUCCUGGACCGACAUUGACGCUGAGGAGCGAAAGCUAGGGGAGCAAACGGG
rnacentral:rRNA from 1 species